AGCUAUUUUGGUGAGAGGCUUGCCCCCAUGUUGUUCUCACAUGAAAGAUUUUCCAACGGUUUUAAUUUCAUGGUCAACAAAAAGGCAACUCUGACCCUCAUAAAAUUUCAUCUCCAUCUGUUCAGUGUAUCUAAAAAUCCAAAGAGAUUUAAUCAUUUAAGCUGUGACCUCCUGUGUUUACCAUAAUUCAUAUACCCCUAGGAAACUAGUAUAUUAAGCUUCAUCAGUCAUUAACAUCCUACUGAGACUCUGUUUAUUGAGUUUUCUACCUACAGGAAGCUUUUAAUAGGGCCAGAAAAGGAAGCCUCGGAUCAUAAGGCUGUAUUUAAAGCACAGAAAGACCACGGAGAAUUGUGUCCGUCUCUCUAGAGCCCAGCCAGGAGGAGAGAAGUAUCAAAUGCCUGAUUCACAGUCUCUCCAUAGUUUUUUAUUUCACUAGAUCCUCUGCAAUCUGGCUCCCAAUGCCACCCUCUGAAUGUGGUCACUGAUCUGUAACCUACAUAAGGGAAGAAAUCCUGCUCAUGCUUUGUCCCCACCACCUAGAACUGGGACUGCCACCAAAUCCAUGUUCAAGGAGCAUUUACAAAAAACAAAAAAGGUGAAACAGUGACUUCCAGUGGGCAACAUUCACUUCUCAAACUCUCUGGAGUGUGUGUUUGCCAACUCCUCAUUCUUGGAACCCCUCCCUCGGUAUUCCUGUUUCCCUGCCUUCCUGAAGUGGAAGUGAAGAGAUGGUGGUGGCAAACUGAUGAAGAGAUCAGACUCUGGAGUCAGACAGACAAGGUUUAAAUCCAAGGUCUUCUGCUAAUUAUGUGACCCAGGCAGGUACUUAAUUGUCCAGUUUUGUUACUUCAUGAAAAACAUGGGAAUCUGAAGAAUUUUUGCACAACCAGAUUGCAAUCAGGAUUAUGUAAAAUAAUCCCUGUUAACAUUACACAGUGCCAUAAACAGUCGGCAAUCGUAAAUAUUAACUAUGAUUUUACUAUAUUCAAACCCUUUGGUUGAUAUUUCUCAUGCGCAUUCACCUGUCACUUAAAUCUUUACAGAUGAAAACACUGAAUAUCCCUCAGGUUUCCAUUCUCUUUUGCUUUUGUUUUUAGUUCUGUCCACAUCUACUCCCUGUGAAUUCUCAUCCAGUCAAUAGCCUCAAUUACCCGAUGUUUUGAUGAUAUGCCCUUUAACACUUUGAUUUCUACACUGUAAGCUCCUGUGUGGCAGGCAUUACUAUGCAUUCACCCAAAUUCAUGUUUUCUACCUUUUGAAUACACUGUCAGACCAUGUUUCCCAACCUUCUUUAGAGUUUUGUAUGGCCACGUGAGCAAGUCCUGUCAAUGGAAUAUGGUGGUGAUAAAGCAAGCCAUCUCUAGGAUUAGCACAUAAAACACCUUCCAUGUGAUCAUUCAUACUCUCCCCCCAUCUACCAGUUUAUGCAGAAGGUCUAGGAGAGGAGACGGACCCUUGAGAAUAGUGAGGCCACAAGAUUGUAGAGCAGUAUCGCUAAAUAAUCCUGGGGAAGGCUACUUUCCAACCAAGAACAACUGCAAUGUUCUUUGCAUGAGCAAGAAAUAAACUUUUACUGAGUUAGAUGCUGAGAUUUUGG
rnacentral:lncRNA from 13 species